AUUGAACGCUGGCGGCAUGCCUUACACAUGCAAGUCGAACGGCAGCACGGGAGCAAUCCUGGUGGCGAGUGGCGAACGGGUGAGUAAUAUAUCGGAACGUGCCCAGUCGUGGGGGAUAACGUAGCGAAAGCUACGCUAAUACCGCAUACGAUCUAUGGAUGAAAGCGGGGGAUCGCAAGACCUCGCGCGAUUGGAGCGGCCGAUAUCAGAUUAGGUAGUUGGUGAGGUAAAGGCUCACCAAGCCGACGAUCUGUAGCUGGUCUGAGAGGACGACCAGCCACACUGGGACUGAGACACGGCCCAGACUCCUACGGAGGCAGCAGUGGGGAAUUUUGGACAAUGGGCGCAAGCCUGAUCCAGCAAUGCCGCGUGCAGGAUGAA
rnacentral:rRNA from 1 species